rnacentral:lncRNA from 1 species
UAAGCUGUCAAGGGCCAUGCCAUGAUCCUCUAUCUGACACGACAACUUGGGACCUUCUCGCAUUCGAUGAUAUGUUCUUCAUCCUCCAGAGGUGUGUUGAUGUCCACUCUGUUUUCCACAUUUGCAUGUGAAGUAGAACUCCAUGAUCAUUUGGAACGGAGAAAAGAAAAUGUGAUCGUAUAACAAAUCACCAUACCCAUAAAAAGAAAAAAUGAAUAUUCGACAAAAAAACCAACAAUUUAUACAUCAAACACAUAGUAACAUACUUUUUUGAAGAGUUUGAUCGCCAAUUGAUAAGAGAUGAUCACGAGAUAGCAAGAAAGUGGUUUAAGAAGCAUUGUCAGUCAUCCAAAAACAAUAUAAGAACAUAUAUAUUACCAUAGACACCGACUGAAUUUCACGUGCCAAUCACGGUAAAAUUUUCACAUAUCACACACAAACUUAGCGUGUUUUCCUUCGGAUUGCUUUAGUUCUUCAAGAUCAGCAUCUAAAAGCAGGGAAGCAUACUCUUAUUUUAGAGGUGAACAAAAUUAUUAAAGGUCCAAAAUAUAGAAGCAUUCGACAUAUUUAAGCAGUGAACAUUCACCUUUCAAUUGGACUUGUGUUGUAAUGUUGAUGCCUACAACAUCAAUAUUUGCCCCCCACGUAAACACAACAUCAGCAGCCUCAGGGUCCCCAUAUAUAUGCUUCGUCAGCAAACUAAGCAAAUGAGUAAACAGUCACGUAAACACAACAUCAGCAACCUCAGGGUCCCCAUAUAUAUGCUUUGUCAGCAAACUAAGCAAAUGAGUAAACAGUAACAAAUNN